UCUAUGGAGGACCUCAAUCAGGCUCCGGAUGAUCUACUAGUUACUACUUUGAAGUACAUGUGUGAACUCGGGGUACAGUCGAGUCGUGACGACUCAUGUUGACUCGGGGACAGUCUACGAUCAUUCAUGGAUGGAAAAAUAGCCAGAAAGGUCAAACGAGGAAGAGAAUGAGAUCGAGAGCGAGAGAGAGAGAGGGAGUUGUACAAACCCCGCGUUUGCGGUAGUGUAGAUCUACAUCCCUGUAGAACUCCAAAAUUAAUAUCCCUGGAUUUCACACCGCUUCAAGCGGCUUGGCAGUCCUCACCUUCAAGCGAAUCAAGGCCUUGGCUAGUGCAAGCAGUAUGUGCCGCGCCAAGAGGCGACAAGGGAGGGUGACCGGUGGUUAGUUCGGCACGAAAGAAACGUGUGAAUGACGCGUCGUGGGUAUAAGAGGCGCCCAGCAGCGCUUUCGCCACUUCUCUGUCGUUCCAUGACAAUAUCGUAUUACUAUCCUACUCUCCAGGCCAGCCAACUGGACCGUCUAUCGUCAGUAUCGUGCACGGGAGUCCUCCCGUCUCGGUGCAUAUACUACUAUGCUAGUAUGUAGAAACCUUUCCUACAGUAGAAGUAUUAUUCUGCCAGCAACAGUCCGUGAACAUAGAGACCGGAAGGCUCUCUCGAAAUUUAGCAAGGAAGGACAAGUGGGCUCGGCUGGGCGACAGUCGACAGCAGUUUCGUCUUCAAGCUGCCAAUCAGCGCGUUGUACCGAGGAGCAGAACUACAGCUUACUUCAAGUCCCGGAAGGACUCUGGAGAGCGGGAGGAGGCCUGCACUGCCGCUGUUCGGGUGGAGAGGAGGGUAAGCGAAGGCUUUGGACUUUGGAGCGCGGGUGAUACUGUUAUGAUAACAAUUCGUUCAAGGCGACACUGAGUAUUUGAAGUCUCCUCUGUUCUGGACUCUGGCUUUGCUCGUAUCGGUGUUCUCGGGUUCCCUGUAAAGAAGGAGGUCCGAGUGUGGUUCUGCAAUUGACGUCGGAAGGAGAAAUUGCAACUGGUUGCAAUGGAAAUCACGCACAUGGCAUCUUCAGGAUACAGCACAGAGAACACAAAGGCCUAUCAUCACCCGCAGAACCCUCAUUCCCAUCAUGCACAGCCCAGGUCUGGCAAUCCUCACGUAUGGCUCUGGACAAGGCGUGCUGAUGGCUUAUGGGCAUUCGGCUCUCAUGCCCAAAGAGGAUAUCAGGACACCGGCAAAUAGCAUGCUGAUGAUACCAGCUCUUCGCAAAAGAAAGCGUCGUCUCGUGCUGGAUCAAGACAAAAGAAUUUUUUGGAGGAGAGCUUCAGAAUGCAGCCAAGACCAUCGCCGGAAGAUCUCGGCCGUAUUGCUCACAUGCUCAAUCUGGAGAACUCGGGUGUCAGUUGAGUACUUUGGUUGUUCGUUGUUGGAUGUCAGUCUUGUGCAAUGUCCUCCCUAGUCGCUAAUCAUUUGGUUUUCAACAUGCUGUCAACCGUCCAACAUGUUAAAACUAUCAAACAAGGCUUACAGUCAUCAUACCAUCCAUCUACAUGUAGCUACACAACUACCGUUACCCUGCUAGACUAUCUACAUGUAGCUACAUAGCACUGCACUGCUGGGCUAUGCUUGCGGCAGUUACGCUUACGUAGUGAGGGCAUGCUUGGAGUUGUCCACCCCAGCCACAGGUGUCUAGGUAUAGGAAGCACACAGGUGAUUUUCAUCAUGUUAUUGCCUAGCUGUUUACAGGUAUACCUAACAAUUGGACUGAAACGAAUCAUUCAAUAACUCCUAACGAUCACCCGGCGAUACCAGUACCAAUCAAUAGAUUGGUUUUACCGAUUCUUGCCGGCUGUACUCCAUGUACCUCGAACACCAGGCCAUGAAGACAUUUCAUGAUGCCGUUGCUAUAUUUGAAUAGUGUGACCAUCAGUCGAAGAGUAAAAAUGUACCCAGGGUCAAUUACCGAUUUUGGGGUAUUCUGCUGUAAACAUUCGAGACAAUGUGUAUUACCGCA